rnacentral:lncRNA from 1 species
CACCACGGGAAAUGUAAAAAGGAACCAGAGUUUGUCCUUGUCCUUAAAGAAGCUUUCCACCCUGAGUCCGGGAGCCAGAUAUGUAAACAAACCAUGAGGUGUGAAUCAAGAGUGAAGUUUGUCCUGUUUACACUGUAGUUUGUCGAGGGUUACAAUUCAGUGAAAUUCAACACGAACAUUUGUCCUUUGAAGCAGCUGGUUCCUUUGAAGCAGCUAAAAUGUUCACCUCCGUUUGUUUCUCGCUGGAUGACUAAUUGUGAAGAUGGUUUGAUAUGCUUUGCUGCAAAGAGAACCUGGCUGUCUUUUGGCUGGUACUCUCUUCCAGCUAAAAAUGGGAAACUGAAGACAGAAAGCCACAGAGGAACACAGGAUAGGGCUCCAGGGUGACACCUGGGUCCUCUUUGGGAUACUCCGUCCCCGCUGCAAGUCUCUACCUCCGGGCACCCCGACUGGACGUUUUGGAAGGAAAAGCACCGCCAAGGACAAGAGAACAAGAACCCGGGUUGACGACAACGUGCCGAGGAAAAUUUGCAAGGGGUCAGCUCCUCGAAACCUCCCGGCAGAGAAAUGGGAAAUCACGGAUCAUGAGAAAUGGGAACUUCUGACAGAGAGCCCUCCCUUACCAUUCAAAAGGCCGAGGUGUUCCAAAAAACACCCUCCCACUCCUCAUCAGAGAGCUGAAGCCCGGGUCCUUGUCUAACGAAUUUCGGAGAUGACGGUCAACAGGUCUGGGGAUGACUUAACCAUGUUUAUGACAGGCAGACUCCUGGGUUGAGGCUCGGGACAAACCAACCUUUCACAUGAGUCCUUCAAAACAGACAGUGUUCUGUUUGAAUUUCUGAACCCCAUUCUAGGACAAACAUGCUUGGCAUCUAGUGCCAGAGACUUUUCUUCUUGGCCAACGGCUCAGCGGCCACCAUGGCUAUUACACCUUAGGUCCCUGCAGUCUCCUCUCUUCCCCUGCCCCUCAUCCCCUUUUCCCUGAGCUAGUCGCUGUGCCC